GUGCCAGCCGCCGCGGUAAUACCGGCAGCCCGAGUGAUGGCCACUCUUAUUGGGCCUAAAGCGUCCGUAGCCGGCCUCGCAAGUCCGUCGGGAAAUCCAGUAGCUCAACUACUGGGCGUCCGGCGGAAACUACAAGGCUUGGGACCGGAAGGCUCGAGGGGUACGUCCGGGGUAGGAGUGAAAUCCCGUAAUCCCGCACGGACCACCGAUGGCGAAGGCACUUCGAGAAAACGGAUCCGACAGUGAGGGACGAAAGCCAGGGUCUCCAACCGGAUUAGAUACCCGAGUAACC
rnacentral:rRNA from 1 species